AGCGAACGCUGGCGGCAGGCUUAACACAUGCAAGUCGAACGCCCCGCAAGGGGAGUGGCAGACGGGUGAGUAACACGUGGGAACGUACCCUUUGGUUCGGAAUAACUUGGGGAAACUCAAGCUAAUACCGGAUAAGCCCUUAUGGGGAAAGGUUUACUGCCGAAGGAUCGGCCCGCGUCUGAUUAGCUGGUUGGUGAGGUAAUGGCUCACCAAGGCAACGAUCAGUAGCUGGUCUGAGAGGAUGAUCAGCCACACUGGGACUGAGACACGGCCCAGACUCCUACGGGAGGCAGCAGUGGGGAAUAUUGGACAAUGGGGGCAACCCUGAUCCAGCCAUGCCGCGUGAGUGAUGAAGGCCUUAGGGUUGUAAAGCUCUUUUACCCGGGACGAUAAUGACUGUACCGGGAGAAUAAGCCCCGGCUAACUUCGUGCCAGCCGCCGCAGUAA
rnacentral:rRNA from 1 species